rnacentral:rRNA from 1 species
UUAAGCGACUAAGCGUACACGGUGGAUGCCCUGGCAGUCAGAGGCGAUGAAGGACGUGCUAAUCUGCGAUAAGCGUCGGUAAGGUGAUAUGAACCGUUAUAACCGGCGAUUUCCGAAUGGGGAAACCCAGUGUGUUUCGACACACUAUCAUUAACUGAAUCCAUAGGUUAAUGAGGCGAACCGGGGGAACUGAAACAUCUAAGUACCCCGAGGAAAAGAAAUCAACCGAGAUUCCCCCAGUAGCGGCGAGCGAACGGGGAGCAGCCCAGAGCCUGAAUCAGUGUGUGUGUUAGUGGAAGCGUCUGGAAAGGCGCGCGAUACAGGGUGACAGCCCCGUACACAAAAAUGCACAUAUUGUGAGCUCGAUGAGUAGGGCGGGACACGUGGUAUCCUGUCUGAAUAUGGGGGGACCAUCCUCCAAGGCUAAAUACUCCUGACUGACCGAUAGUGAACCAGUACCGUGAGGGAAAGGCGAAAAGAACCCCGGCGAGGGGAGUGAAAAAGAACCUGAAACCGUGUACGUACAAGCAGUGGGAGCCUCUUUUAUGGGGUGACUGCGUACCUUUUGUAUAAUGGGUCAGCGACUUAUAUUCUGUAGCAAGGUUAACCGAAUAGGGGAGCCGAAGGGAAACCGAGUCUUAACUGGGCGUUAAGUUGCAGGGUAUAGACCCGAAACCCGGUGAUCUAGCCAUGGGCAGGUUGAAGGUUGGGUAACACUAACUGGAGGACCGAACCGACUAAUGUUGAAAAAUUAGCGGAUGACUUGUGGCUGGGGGUGAAAGGCCAAUCAAACCGGGAGAUAGCUGGUUCUCCCCGAAAGCUAUUUAGGUAGCGCCUCGUGAAUUCAUCUCCGGGGGUAGAGCACUGUUUCGGCAAGGGGGUCAUCCCGACUUACCAACCCGAUGCAAACUGCGAAUACCGGAGAAUGUUAUCACGGGAGACACACGGCGGGUGCUAACGUCCGUCGUGAAGAGGGAAACAACCCAGACCGCCAGCUAAGGUCCCAAAGUCAUGGUUAAGUGGGAAACGAUGUGGGAAGGCCCAGACAGCCAGGAUGUUGGCUUAGAAGCAGCCAUCAUUUAAAGAAAGCGUAAUAGCUCACUGGUCGAGUCGGCCUGCGCGGAAGAUGUAACGGGGCUAAACCAUGCACCGAAGCUGCGGCAGCGACGCUUAUGCGUUGUUGGGUAGGGGAGCGUUCUGUAAGCCUGUGAAGGUGUGCUGUGAGGCAUGCUGGAGGUAUCAGAAGUGCGAAUGCUGACAUAAGUAACGAUAAAGCGGGUGAAAAGCCCGCUCGCCGGAAGACCAAGGGUUCCUGUCCAACGUUAAUCGGGGCAGGGUGAGUCGACCCCUAAGGCGAGGCCGAAAGGCGUAGUCGAUGGGAAACAGGUUAAUAUUCCUGUACUUGGUGUUACUGCGAAGGGGGGACGGAGAAGGCUAUGUUGGCCGGGCGACGGUUGUCCCGGUUUAAGCGUGUAGGCUGGUUUUCCAGGCAAAUCCGGAAAAUCAAGGCUGAGGCGUGAUGACGAGGCACUACGGUGCUGAAGCAACAAAUGCCCUGCUUCCAGGAAAAGCCUCUAAGCAUCAGGUAACAUCAAAUCGUACCCCAAACCGACACAGGUGGUCAGGUAGAGAAUACCAAGGCGCUUGAGAGAACUCGGGUGAAGGAACUAGGCAAAAUGGUGCCGUAACUUCGGGAGAAGGCACGCUGAUAUGUAGGUGAAGUCCCUUGCGGAUGGAGCUGAAAUCAGUCGAAGAUACCAGCUGGCUGCAACUGUUUAUUAAAAACACAGCACUGUGCAAACACGAAAGUGGACGUAUACGGUGUGACGCCUGCCCGGUGCCGGAAGGUUAAUUGAUGGGGUCAGCGCAAGCGAAGCUCUUGAUCGAAGCCCCGGUAAACGGCGGCCGUAACUAUAACGGUCCUAAGGUAGCGAAAUUCCUUGUCGGGUAAGUUCCGACCUGCACGAAUGGCGUAAUGAUGGCCAGGCUGUCUCCACCCGAGACUCAGUGAAAUUGAACUCGCUGUGAAGAUGCAGUGUACCCGCGGCAAGACGGAAAGACCCCGUGAACCUUUACUAUAGCUUGACACUGAACAUUGAGCCUUGAUGUGUAGGAUAGGUGGGAGGCUUUGAAGUGUGGACGCCAGUCUGCAUGGAGCCGACCUUGAAAUACCACCCUUUAAUGUUUGAUGUUCUAACGUUGACCCGUAAUCCGGGUUGCGGACAGUGUCUGGUGGGUAGUUUGACUGGGGCGGUCUCCUCCUAAAGAGUAACGGAGGAGCACGAAGGUUGGCUAAUCCUGGUCGGACAUCAGGAGGUUAGUGCAAUGGCAUAAGCCAGCUUGACUGCGAGCGUGACGGCGCGAGCAGGUGCGAAAGCAGGUCAUAGUGAUCCGGUGGUUCUGAAUGGAAGGGCCAUCGCUCAACGGAUAAAAGGUACUCCGGGGAUAACAGGCUGAUACCGCCCAAGAGUUCAUAUCGACGGCGGUGUUUGGCACCUCGAUGUCGGCUCAUCACAUCCUGGGGCUGAAGUAGGUCCCAAGGGUAUGGCUGUUCGCCAUUUAAAGUGGUACGCGAGCUGGGUUUAGAACGUCGUGAGACAGUUCGGUCCCUAUCUGCCGUGGGCGCUGGAGAACUGAGGGGGGCUGCUCCUAGUACGAGAGGACCGGAGUGGACGCAUCACUGGUGUUCGGGUUGUCAUGCCAAUGGCACUGCCCGGUAGCUAAAUGCGGAAGAGAUAAGUGCUGAAAGCAUCUAAGCACGAAACUUGCCCCGAGAUGAGUUCUCCCUGACCCUUUAAGGGUCCUGAAGGAACGUUGAAGACGACGACGUUGAUAGGCCGGGUGUGUAAGCGCAGCGAUGCGUUGAGCUAACCGGUACUAAUGAACCGUGAGGCUUAACCUU